CUCUUGUUCAACGAAUGCAAUCGGCUCAAAUAGUGGGGUUGAAAAGCUCAUUGUUGCUCAUUUUCGCUAGAUUGGUCCAUAUGAAUGCUUCUCAUGUUGAACAAUUCUUUGAGGCGCUGAUAGGUAUACCAGCUGAAGGCUAUGAAAUUGUUUAUGUGAUGUCAGAAUGGACUAAACAGCAAGAUAUUGGCUUUGUUGGCAGACACUGUGAUCGAAUUCCAAGAACAGGCAAUAGCUGAUGAUGAGUUAGGGGCAUCCUUUUCAGGUUUCUUUAAUGUCAUUGCCCCCGUAGCUGCGAGGAAUAGAACUCUCAAGGUUUGAGUUAACUGUUGCAGCAGGGGAGCGCCUGGGAGGAAAUUUAGUCAGUGGUGGCAGACUCUAGUGUGCUGUGCUCUGCUGCUGCUCCAUCAUUCGGCAGAACUACGCCUGGCCAACUCGAAGCAAUGGAAAAGGCAUACAAGGAGGAUGAAGAGGACGGGGACGAUGAUGACCUUUGAGUGUUUCCGAUCCACUCAAUGAGGUAAUUAGCAUUAUCCUUUUUAAUUAUUCAAUAUUAUCUCCUUGUACUCUCCAUUGUUUGAAUGGUCACUUGCAGCUUUAAUUUCUUGAA